CGUCCAAUAAAGAGAAGGAGCUGGCCCAGAGUUCCGCGGCAUCGCCAAGCUGUUGGCCAACGGGGAUCUUGGAGGGGAGAGCUUCAUUGGAGGCCCACCUACUCGCUGAUCCGGCUUUCCCUAGUCGUCAGGCUCCCGUUUGGCGAGUGUGUUUGUGUAGGUCUGCGGCUCCCGGGAAGAUCGACCCAGGGUGGGGGUGGGGGAAUCUGCAUGGAGAUCAAAGGAGGCAGUGAAAGUUGCGUGAAAGGGUAAGUCAAGUAACCACACUGAGUGGCCUUUAAAGUGUUGGCCCAGAGAGGAUACAAUUUGUCCAGCAAAUCUGGAAGCAAGAGAAACACUGAAGAAGAAACAUUAAGGAAGAUGCCUGCACGGAGAGGACUUACAUGUGCAUGUCUUACUGAAUAUAUCAUAUAUAAUUAUAUAAAAAUAAUUUCCAAAUGAAUCUUUAAGAACUUCAGAUUUUAACAGAAAUUUUUUCACAAAAUGAAUAACACUGUAUUUAUUUUAUUUGACUUAUUUACAGUUUUUAAGCAUAACGUCAGCAAUAAAUUUAUAGUAUUUUUCUGAUAAGCUUCUCUGAAAACUUAACUUGAACGUUUCUAGGUACAAAAAGGCAUCUAUGGACACAGAUAAUAUAUUGAGAUUUCUGGAUCAAUGUAACUAAAGAACACAGACAGUCUGAAUAAAACACUAUUUUCUUUAAAAAGU